AGGCGGCGGGAGGAAGUGAAGGGAAGGAGAAGGGAAAAGAAAGAAAGAAAAAAAAAGCCGAUGCCCUCUUUGCCGCCACCGCUUCCCGCCGGUCUCCGUCGGUGCCUUCCUCCCCAUCUUCAUCAGCGUGCGGUCGUCUUCCUCCCCUCCGAUCUCCUCAAGUGCUUUCAUUCCCUCCGUCUUUUUUCUUCGGCCGUGUUUUUUUUUGGUUUUUUGUUUUUUUGUUUUUUUUUUCCUUCUCUCACCUACCCACCGCCGCCGCUCCCAAAACCUUCUGCUACCCCUCCGGUUCCCCCCACCACCGCUCCCCUUCUCUCUCGGCGAAUGCAGAUCCCGAUAGCACCCCUCUCCUCUUUCUAAAAUGCAGAUCCCGAUAGCACCCCUCUCCUCUUUCUAAACCCCGAGGCCGGCCAUGGCGUCCUCCCAAUCCUUCCCCUCCAGCACCCGGCGGCCCUGCCCUGGCUUCAACCCCAACACAAACCCAACCCCUUCGCGGUCGAUGCACUCCAGAACAUCAAGAUCCGCCACCCCUCACCACCCACCGCUGCCUCCAGCGCCACUGUCGCCCCUCCCGUCACCUCCCUCGCUUCCCAGACCUUCUUUAAUCCAGGUAGAAUCUAUUACCUUUCCAUAAAAACUCUUUUUUUAUCUAUUUUUUGCACUUCUUUUCUGCGUUCCUUCUCUCCAUCGCUACUCUCUCUUCCCACUCUUCUAACGGUGGGAAAAUCAGUGCUUUGAGGCCGCGAGGUAAGCAGAGGUAUAAAGAUGGGUUAUUGCGCUUCGGUUCAGAAGAAUCCGGACUCCACCAUGGGAUUUCGACUGGGUUUAGGCUCCCAGGUUAAGAGAUUCUUCAUUCCCUCCCCUGCCAAAGAGAAGCCUUUGAAUGGUCAGAGCUUAGUUGGUGGAUUCGAUUUCAAGGGCAAGGUGGUGGAUCGGGAGCAGGUCUUAGAAGCCCAGACUUUGUUUGCUCGAAAAGAAACUCAGAGAAUUGAGCCACGAAAGAUAAGUUAUAUAUCUUUUACUUUUUUGUUAGUUUGUGGAUCAUUCAUUAUAUUUUGUAUUUUUUAUUAGUUUAAUGAAAUAAUGUCGGUGCAAAUAUGACAGCUUCUAGAUUCUGAGAGGGACAUUCAAUGCAGCAUAACGAAGUUGAAAUUUAAUAUAUGAACUUGAGGUUCGAUACAAUACAACAAAGUUAUCGGCUGCAUUUAGCAGUUUUUUGAAUGAUAUAAAGAAUUGAGAAUGGUGGUGUUUUGAGCAUUCGGUAGGCAAGGAAUCAAGAAAAUGUGAGUGCUAAAUUUUCUUUUGAUCAGAAACUUAUGAAAAUGAUGAAUUGAUUUUUUUUUCUCUUUUUUCUCCAUUUUUUAUUCACUAUCUUGCUGCAUCAAUAUUUUCUAAAGAUUAGAUAAGGCUGUAAAUCUUUUCUCAAAUGAUGGUUUCUGUGGGAUUGUAAGGUUGUGAUCUUGCAAACAGCAAUCUCCUACGAACUUGAUGAGAAAACUCAUCAAACAUAAAAUUUUUCAAAUAUUUUUCAGCAUAAUCCUUCGAAUCCACUUAAGCUUUCAUAUUCAUUAAACAAUUCAUCAAUGAAAUUGGAAGGCUGCUACAAAUGCAGUAGCAAUUCUUUCAAAACUCUCUUAGGUGAUGUUUUUAGACUACAAAAUUGAUGAGAAGCUCUCUCAAACACAUUCUUUCCUGCUUUCCUCACUACUAUCUCCUAUGGAUCUUCAUCGUUGAAAAAGAGAAAAAAUUUGAACAGCCUAUAUAGGAAAAGGUUUGGUCUUUUAAAUUUUCUACCUUUUCUUUGUUUUCAUUGAUUUUUUUUAUUUUUUUUUAAUUUUUGUUGUACUUUUUUUGUUCAUGGGAAUGUCAAUCAGGUGGGAGGCUUGAAGUGAUCGAAUAGAAAAAUUUAAAUCCAUCUUAAUUGGAUGGGAGGUUUGGAGCAAAUGAGGAGUCUUAAUCAGAUCGGAGGUUUCGAGUAGCUGAAUAGAGAAUUUUAGAUCCAUCUCAAUCGGGAGCCUUGAUUGGGUGGUGGUUCAAAGCGACUGGAUAGAGAUGUUUAGAUUCAUCUCAAUGAAGUGGGAAUCUUGGAGCAGGCGAGCAUGGGUUAUUUUGCUAGUGCGACAUUACCGGUCGGUGAGCGGCAACAUCACAAGCAACUUCUCGGGGGUCUAGAGCACAAAUUAUUUUCCUUUUUAUUGUGGAAGGCUAGUUGACGAGCACAAGCAUUAGGUCAUUUGAACCAUGCGUUGUAGCUAUAAAACAUACGGGGACAAACAAAAAUCUACCAAAGGACAAAACGUGAGGCGAAUUGCAUCAUACAGUUGCUCAACACAUCACAUUGAGCAUGUGCACGUACAACACCACCAUUAGGUAAGACGUCUUACUCGUCCGGUUGAAGAGUUUGGAUGAGUUUGACUCGGUUGCGAGAUGGACAGGAAAGUCAUGGUUCCGUAAUUGUGCUCCACGGUUUGCCAUGUUGUGCUAACCUACCUAUCAGAUAGGCUUGGCUGCUAAGACUCCGGCAUGUUCGCUUCUGGCAACAAUACAAUAACAAUUACAAUCACAAAUAAUGAAAUACUAAUCCUGCAUCUUGCCCUUGUCCACCCUAGCCUUUGACAUCCAGAUCUAGAUUGGACAGCAAAGUAAAGCCCAGAUCACCUAAUGCGGCGGAGGCCCAUCAAUUAUGAGGCUGAACAACGGUCUACUGGCCAAUCUAGUGGCGCACUCUCGUCUAGUUGUAACUUUUUAAGUGUGAACAAAAAAUCUUGCAUGGUCUUCAGCCAAUAUCAAUUCGUAGUCCUGGGCAAGGCAAAACAUUGCAUUUGCCAUGCCAUUUAAAUUAUUUAAAACAUCAAAUUAGUGUAGGCAUGAUCACCCGUCAUGCAGAAACCAUGUGUUUGUAAUAGGGAUUGACGUUU